UGUUCGAUCCGCCAUAAACAAGUUUGGAUUUAGGUUAAAUAGAUUCGGAUUAUAAAUGGGUCGACCCGUUUAACCCGCUUAAUAAUUGGAUCAGAUAUGGGUUUUAGAUAUCUAACCCAUUUAAUAUUUAAGUUUGGUUGAGUCAAAUAACCUAUUUAACCUGUUUAAUUUAUUUCUGACCCAUUUAACUAUUUAAUCUGUUUAAUCUGUUUAACCCAUUUAAGAUCUGUUUAACCUAUUUAACCUAUUUAAGAUCCGUUUAACCUGUUUCUGACCCA
rnacentral:lncRNA from 1 species